ACUACUAUCACGCCCGUGCGUUAGCGUGUAACGCACAACGCAGAUCACAAAAUUGUCACCGUAACGUACGGUGCGUACUAGAGAUACAAAAUAUUGAAUAUACGUGCAAUAUAAUUAAAAUACUUAAAAAUAGGUAACCAGUUUCGGUGCUCAUCAAACGAUUAGACACGACUAUUUUUACAACUAUUCAGAUCAACAUUUUAAUUAGAGUUUAUUUGGUCGAGUUAUAUUGUUAAAGUUUUACAUAUCAAGUUUAGAAAUGUUGACGUAUGUCAUCGCAAACACAGAUCAACAGAUGUCAAGUGAUGUCAACGUCAACGUAUUUAAUGUGCUUCUCGGUCAGUUGUCAAUGGAUCCAAUAGUAUUUGAUGUGACCCAUUAUCAAAUAAUGAAACGUGUUGGUCAGAUCUUAAGGAAGCUGGUGCAUCAUAAUGAGGAAUAUAUGGUUUGAUAUCAAGCACUGGAGUACCAUCUAUCAUGUCCAC